rnacentral:rRNA from 1 species
UACGUAGGGCGCAAGCGUUGUCCGGAAUUAUUGGGCGUAAAGAGCGUGUAGGCGGCCCGAUAAGUCCGCUGUGAAAGUCCAGGGCUCAACCCUGGGAUGCCGGUGGAUACUGUCGGGCUCGAGUCCGGAAGAGGAGUGUGGAAUUCCUGGUGUAGCGGUGAAAUGCGCAGAUAUCAGGAGGAACACCAAUGGCGAAGGCAGCACUCUGGGACGUGACUGACGCUGAGACGCGAAAGCGUGGGGAGCAAACAGG